rnacentral:rRNA from 1 species
AGAGGGGGACAACAGUUGGAAACGACUGCUAAUACCGCAUGAUACAUUUGGGUGGCAUCAUCUGAAUGUCAAAGAUUUAUCGCUGAAAGAUGGCCUCGCGUCUGAUUAGCUGGUUGGUGAGGUAACGGCCCACCAAGGCGACGAUCAGUAGCCGGACUGAGAGGUUGACCGGCCACAUUGGGACUGAGAUACGGCCCAGACUCCUACGGGAGGCAGCAGUGGGGAAUAUUGGGCAAUGGGCGCAAGCCUGACCCAGCAACGCCGCGUGAAGGAAGAAGGCUUUCGGGUUGUAAACUUCUUUUAAGAGGGAAGAGCAGAAGACUGUACCUCUAGAAUAAGCCACGGCUAACUACGUGCCAGCAGCCGCGGUAAUACGUAGGUGGCAAGCGUUGUCCGGAUUUACUGGGUGUAAAGGGCGUGCAGCCGGGAAUGCAAGUCAGAUGUGAAAUCCAUGGGCUUAACCCAUGAACUGCAUUUGAAACUGUAUUUCUUGAGUACUGGAGAGGCAAUCGGAAUUCCUAGUGUAGCGGUGAAAUGCGUAGAUAUUAGGAGGAACACCAGUGGCGAAGGCGGAUUGCUGGACAGCAACUGACGGUGAGGCGCGAAAGUGUGGGGAGCAAACAGGAUUAGAUACCCUGGUAGUCCACACUGUAAACGA